rnacentral:snRNA from 1 species
GGAUAUGAGGGUAACAUGGCUGCAACAUCUGUCACCUCAUUGAUCGUCACGGUUGAUGCCGCUGAUCCGGCUGGCUGGGUGGGUGUCCCCUUCCUCCCUCACCAUCGAUGUGCACCACCCACCAAUGCAGCGCUAUCAGCCAAAGGGGAAGAUGUCCCCCCAGAGGAGGACCUUUCUGUGGUCAAGAGUGGCUGUGCUGCCCUGCUAGAACCUCCACAUAAGCUCCAAAUGCUGGCAAGGUUGUGGAAUAACAGGGAAUGCUGUUGGGAAUGCAAAACGGCAUAACCACUUUGGAAGGUAGUUUGUCAGU